UUGUUUCUAUUGUAUUACGUUCAUCACACUGGUUUGUUGUAAAGCCCGAAGGCACGGUUCACAGAGGUUUGGAUUUUACACCUCUCGGCUCACUAAUGAUCCUUCCGCAGGUUCACCUACGGAAA
rnacentral:misc_RNA from 1 species